UCAAAGUCGGUGGCUGCCUCGUGUCCUGACGGUGGUUCGGCGUCCGCCGGGGCGGCUUCGAUGUACAUGGCGAGUGCUGCGAACAAAGCCGAUCGCCGUUGUCGAUGAUCAUAAUGAAUUUCGCUAAGCAUCCAUCCCAAGGAUUUUUCGAUAUCCGAUUGCUGCAACAGAAGAGGGACGAUUUUAGAGAUCAUCGAGGCACUUUUUCGUAUAACCAUGGUCGCGAGCACUUUUGCAGUGGAAAGAAUCACGAGCUUUAUUAAGGGGGUAGAACAUACAUAGAAGGCCACGACAACUCCUGCAGCAUAAUCUGAAGGUAAUUUGAUGGAACCACUGAAGAAUCCAUGGAGAUAAAGAUCUUGUGACGCGAAUCCAGCACCUAAAGCAACCAUCAACUGUUCAGCUUCAAAAUCCGUGAAUCUUGAAAGUAAUAAGAAAAUUCAAAGAAACUAAUGAGGCAUAGGCAGGAAUAUAAAGGAAGAAUAAACAGUAAGCACCAGUUCUCUGGUCUAGAGAGAUGUGAAUAUUUCUUCCAUCGCCAUGAAGCCUUAGGUUGGAGUCUCCAAAUAGCUGUGUGUAGCCUUCCUCAAAGGAGAGGGUGGUGAGGUUGGGCAGCUCUGGGAGACCACUAGCUGCAUUGCAAAUGUACAGAGCUGAACCAAGCAAGAGGAUGAGGAGGAAGAGUGAUGUCAAAGAAGAAGAAGAAGCCAUAUCUUCCUUUAGCUGUCACUGCUUGUUUCAGUAGGUAAUCUCAUUAAAUAGGCAACACUCCCUUUCUCUUAUGUUUCUUGAGAGAGUUGGAAAAGGAAGGCCUAGGUGUUGGAAGGUGAGCACGAGAGCUGGGAUUUUAUCGGAAGCUGAGAGAUGGAGAGAAAGAGGGGUUAAUUUAUUGGAGAUGUGAUCGAAAUCCUUUAUCUUUUUUAAUUGUUGUAAUCUUUUGUCACAUUCACAUACCUCGAUGGAGCUCAUAGAAUGGAAUCUUUGUUAGCUAAGCUGUAGUUAUAAGAAUUGAAUGCAUUAAUUAAAGCAGAGGUACUAUGAUUUAUGUAAGGUUGCACUAAUUGUGCUUUCUCAGUGUGGAAAGACCGUUCAAUGAUAACUGAUGCUCAGCCAACCCUUGGUUAUGUCACAUAUAUGACAACUUGCUCUUUGUUGCAAGCUUCAGCUAGCCAACCAUUUGGGGCUCUCUUAUGCCCCUGUAGCUGAUGCAACCCAACCACCCAUCCUAAUCUUAUCAGAUGAUUCAGAUCCAGCAAGUGCCAGCAAAUUGCCUUAAACAUCAGUAACUUCCAACAACAAUGUGCCGCUCUGCUACCAGAAAGCAAUGAUGACCCAAAAAGGAAGAACCAUUAUGUUGCACAAUCCAAAGGCACGUAGCAGUUGGCCAUUAGAAUGACGUGGCGACGGGGCCCACGUCAGCAGAACUAGCCGUUCUGUGGCUUCUGUGUCACUCCGCAUUAGAGCUAAUGUACUGGAGGCCUCCACCUCGUGAGCAUACAUAUGUAUAUAGUCGUUGGGAUCAGAGGAGAAAAACCAAGGGCCAAAAUUUGCAGGGGCGGGACUGGACCGUCCCACCCCCUUCUGCGUAAUGUUUCAAGUCCUCUCGGGACGAUCAAGUGGUUAGUACAUGAGGUGUUGAUUAAGAAUGGAUACACCAAUUGAACAAGUCAAGGGAGAUGUGAUUAAGUGGACUAAAGAGAUGGAUAGAAUUUUCAUAGAUGUUAUGUUAGAACAACAAGUUAAUGGUAACCGAAUAGGUGGCACUUUCACAUCUAGUGCGUACAAAGAUAUGAUUACCAUUUGUAGUGAAAAGAUUGAAAUCACAUUGACGAAGGAUAAUUUGAAGAACAGAAUUAAAACAUUAAAAAGUCAUUUCAAUUCAUGUUAUGAUUUGUUUAAGAAUGUAAGUGGAGUUCAAUGGCAUGCUGAAAGUAGAAGAUUUGAGAUCGAGGAGGUGGUUUA